rnacentral:tRNA from 1 species
GCUCUUGUAGCUCAGCGGUAGAGCGCGUCCUUGGUAAGGACGAGGCCGGCAGUUCAAAUCUGCUCAAGAGCUCCA